UCUUGUUCUAGUCCAUUCUUCAUAACAUCGAUAGAAAAUCUUUUUUAAAUUUUUUUUAUAUAUUAUGGAAUUGGAAGGUACAUAUUCAAAGCUAAUCAAUGUGUAAAUCCUUUUAUAUACAUUUUUUACUGGUUCUUGAUAUGUUCAAAGUAUUUUCUUAGGGAAGAAGAAAUCAUAGGAUGAGAGGAAAGAAUGUUGAAAUUAAUAAUCUGAAGAAAGAUCACUACAACCAUGAUGAUGAUGAUGAUGGUGAAUGUUUUUGUCUGGAGCAUCAGACAGUAACGCGGUGUACAGUCCAUGUACAGACACACAAAUAAGAAAAGGAGAUGGUUUCACCAUUGUUGUCAUCUCAAGUAGAGAAGCUUUCUUUCUUGACCAAGUCCAGCUUUCCCCUUGCGAUUCUCGUCUUGGUUUAGCGGCCAAGAUGGCUCACCUCUCGCUUUUUAGACCUAAGACGGAUGAGAUCUCUCUUCUCUCUAUCGACACAAGUACGCUUAAGCCGAGUGAAGCAGGUACGCAGCAAGAUCUUAUCCUGUAAAGGUUGUAGAUGGAAGCAGUCAAGCAACACCAUCACAGAGUUUGUAAUGCAUAACCCUUAAACCUGUUCAGAACAAACAUUCAAAUAGAGAACUGAAACAUUGUCUAUGGUAAGUAAUGUAACUUCAGAAGGGAGUACUACAGAAUCUGUUCUGGAAGAGCAUUGGAUGCGAUUCGUGCAAAGGAGCAUCUUCCUCUGUGUCUGAACGGGACAGAUUGUGCGGUUCCAAAAGAAAAGUGCAAAGCUAGGGACAGACAAGAACCUUGAGUCGUUGAACUCUUGGUACGAGGUAAACGAUCUGAGGCAGUGCUCGCUUACUGUGCUCUAUGCAAAUGCUGUAAAUUCUUGGAGUGGAUGACUUUUCUAAGAGAGACACAUUGUAAUGCAGCAGCUGCUAUGUAGCUGAGGUUCCUAAAUAGGUUUUUAACUUUCAUGUCUUAGCAAUGAUGAAUAACUUGCACCUCCAAGUUUGCAGACAAAAAGAACAUUUUCAAUUAAGAUAAAUGCAAAAGAAAGAAACACACAAAAGGUUUAUAUACAGAACCCUUCUGUCAUUGUUGUAUACAAAACCCUCGCAAAUUGAUGUUUUAUACACAAGGAAGAAUAUUUAAAAGAACCCCAAAAAGCACUAAAAGCAAAAAAAAAAAAAAAGAAAAGAA